AUACGGAGGAUGCGAGCGUUAUCCGGAUUUAUUGGGUUUAAAGGGAGCGUAGGUGGGAUAUUAAGUCAGCUGUGAAAGUUUGGGGCUCAACCUUAAAAUUGCAGUUGAUACUGGUUUCCUUGAGUACGGUACAGGUGGGCGGAAUUCGUGGUGUAGCGGUGAAAUGCUUAGAUAUCACGAAGAACUCCGAUUGCGAAGGCAGCUUACUGGACUGUAACUGACGCUGAUGCUCGAAAGUGUGGGUAUCAAACAGGAUUAGAUACCCUGGUAGUCCACACAGUAAACGAUGAAUACUUGUUUUCGGCGAUAUAAUGUCGGAGGCAAAGCGAAAGCGAUAAGUAUUCCACCUGGGGAGUACGCCGGCAACGGUGAAACUUAAAGGAAUCGACGGGG
rnacentral:rRNA from 1 species